rnacentral:rRNA from 1 species
UACGGAGGGGACUAGCGUUGUUCGGAAUUACUGGGCGUAAAGCGCACGUAGGCGGAUUGUUAAGUCAGGGGUGAAAUCCCGAGGCUCAACCUCGGAACUGCCUUUGAUACUGGCAAUCUCGAGUCCGGAAGAGGUGAGUGGAAUUCCUAGUGUAGAGGUGAAAUUCGUAGAUAUUAGGAAGAACACCAGUGGCGAAGGCGGCUCACUGGUCCGGUACUGACGCUGAGGUGCGAAAGCGUGGGGAGCGAACAGG